GGUGACUAGUGACAGUGAGGAAGGGUGUGACUAGUGACAGAGUGAGGGAGGAUGUGACUAGUGACAGAGGGAGGGGUGACUAGUGACAGAGUGAGGGAGGGAAGGGGGUGAGUAGUCACUACUCAAUCCCUCCUUCUGUCACUAGUCACCCCCUUUGUCCCUUACUCUGUCACUAGUCACCCCCUAACUCACUCUGUCACUAGUCAUCCCCCUCUCUCACUCUGUCACUAGUCAUCCCCCUCUCUCACUCUGUCGCCAGUCAUCUGCUCACUCUGUCACCAGUCACCCCUUCCUUCCCUCACUCUGCCACUAGUCACCCCUUCCCUCACUCUGUCACCAGACAUCCCCUCACUCUAGUGA